rnacentral:lncRNA from 1 species
AAAGCUAUACGUUCGGGAAAUCACAACUCACACAAAUACAGAUUCAAUUACAGCUUUAACACAACUUAUCCAACACAAUUUCUCAGCAUUCAACAUCCCAAUUAGGGUCAAUUCAACGGUUUAUCACUACCCAUUACAUGUUAACCCAUAAUACCCAUUAAACGACGAUAAACCCCCCUUACCUGAGUUAAUCCGGCAAUCCUUUAGCCUCAAGCUCUUCUCUUCUCCAACCUUCUUCCUCUUGCUCUGCCUCUU